rnacentral:rRNA from 1 species
CCUACGGGUGGCAGCAGUGGGGAAUAUUGGACAAUGGGCGAAAGCCUGAUCCAGCCAUGCCGCGUGUGUGAAGAAGGCCUUCGGGUUGUAAAGCACUUUAAGUGGGGAAGAAAGCCUUGGGGCUAAUACCUUCGAGGAAGGACAUCACCCACAGAAGAAGCACCGGCUAACUCCGUGCCAGCAGCCGCGGUAAUACGGAGGGUGCGAGCGUUAAUCGGAAUUACUGGGCGUAAAGCGCGCGUAGGCGGUCUGAUAAGCCGGUUGUGAAAGCCCCGGGCUCAACCUGGGAACGGCAUCCGGAACUGUCAGGCUAGAGUGCAGGAGAGGAAGGUAGAAUUCCCGGUGUAGCGGUGAAAUGCGUAGAGAUCGGGAGGAAUACCAGUGGCGAAGGCGGCCUUCUGGACUGACACUGACGCUGAGGUGCGAAAGCGUGGGUAGCAAACAGGAUUAGCUACCCGUGUAGUC